AUGGCUCAGGAUGAACGCUAGCGGCAGGCUUAACACAUGCAAGUCGAGGGGCAUCGGGAGUAGCAAUACUGCCGGCGACCGGCGCAAGGGUGCGUAACGCGUGAGCAACAUGCCCGUAUCAGGGGGAUAAUCCAUGGAAACGUGGUCUAAUACCCCAUAGUAAUUAUGUAAGGCAUCUUAUAUAAUUUAAAGCUUUGGUGGAUACGGAUUGGCUCGCGUGACAUUAGCUGGAUGGUAAGGUAACGGCUUACCAUGGCUACGAUGUCUAGGGGUUCUGAGAGGAAGGUCCCCCCACACUGGAACUGAGACACGGUCCAGACUCCUACGGGAGGCAGCAGUGAGGAAUAUUGGACAAUGGAUGGAAAUCUGAUCCAGCCAUGCCGCGUGCAAGGAAGACGGCCCUAUGGGUUGUAAACUGCUUUUGUAUGGGAGCAAUAAGGGCUACGUGUAGUCCGAUGAGAGUACCAUACGAAUAAGCACCGGCUAACUCCGUGCCAGCCGCUGC
rnacentral:rRNA from 1 species